rnacentral:rRNA from 1 species
UUGAACGCUGGCGGCAGGCCUAACCCAUGCAAGUCGAGCGGAUGAAGGGAGCUUGCUCCUGGAUUCAGCGGCGGACGGGUGAGUAAUGCCUAGGAAUCUGCCUGGUAGUGGGGGAUAACGUCCGGAAACGGGCGCUAAUACCGUAUACGUCCUGAGGGAGAAAGUGGGGGAUCUUCGGACCUCACGCUAUCAGAUGAGCCUAGGUCGGAUUAGCUAGUUGGUGGGGUAAAGGCCUACCAAGGCGACGAUCCGUAACUGGUCUGAGAGGAUGAUCAGUCACACUGGAACUGAGACACGGUCCAGACUCCUACGGGAGGCAGCAGUGGGGAAUAUUGGACAAUGGGCGAAAGCCUGAUCCAGCCAUGCCGCGUGUGUGAAGAAGGUCUUCGGAUUGUAAAGCACUUUAAGUUGGGAGGAAGGGCAGUAAGUUAAUACCUUGCUGUUUUGACGUUACCAACAGAAUAAGCACCGGCUAACUUCGUG